CCUAUUUCUCUCACACAUCAUUAUUUUGAGGCUCACCCAAAGUGGGAUAUUUACCCAUAUACCAUUUGGACCAGCGUGUUUUUUGGAAAGAGGUCCAUUGCUAAUUUAGUCUAAAGUGUUCAACACUAUUGAGCAUUAGAGUGUUUCAACCCAUUGAAUUCAUAUAUGGUUGCUUCAUGGACUGACCAUUUGCUGUGUUGACCAUCCCUCUGAAGAAGUCCACGAAGGACGAAACGCGUCAGGGUUGAAGACAGAGAGAAAAGAAACCCUACACUAUUGUACAUUUGACAUAUAUUGUGAUCUGUAAUUGUGAAAAAGGGUUACCUCUGUCUAGAUUGGGCAAUACUUUGCUUUUAAUAAAUUGUGUA